UCUGCAAAUUUCUAAAUAUUUCAAUUAUUUUGGUAAUUUAUUCCAAAUAAACUGUCAACAAGUGUGUCUGUAACAAUGCAGACAACAGAAAAGAUUCAGGAAAUGUUUUUU